rnacentral:rRNA from 1 species
GAUGAACGCUGGCGGCGUGCCUAAUACAUGCAAGUCGAGCGAACAGACGAGGAGCUUGCUCCUCUGACGUUAGCGGCGGACGGGUGAGUAACACGUGGAUAACCUACCUAUAAGACUGGGAUAACUUCGGGAAACCGGAGCUAAUACCGGAUAAUAUAUUGAACCGCAUGGUUCAAUAGUGAAAGACGGUUUUGCUGUCACUUAUAGAUGGAUCCGCGCCGCAUUAGCUAGUUGGUAAGGUAACGGCUUACCAAGGCAACGAUGCGUAGCCGACCUGAGAGGGGGAUCGGCCACACUGGAACUGAGACACGGUCCAGACUCCUACGGGAGGCAGCAGUAGGGAAUCUUCCGCAAUGGGCGAAAGCCUGACGGAGCAACGCCGCGUGAGUGAUGAAGUUCUUCGGAUCGUAAAACUCUGUUAUUAGGGAAGAACAAAUGUGUAAGUAACUAUGCACGUCUUGACGGUACCUAAUCAGAAAGCCACGGCUAACUACGUG